UUUGCAGAGGAUGCUUUGGAUUUUGUGCUGUCAAAAGUCCAUUGGAACAUGGCGUCACGGAGGGUGAAAAUCCCGUGUUGACAGAAAUUCAAUUUCCAUGUAAAGCUCCUUCGAAGAGUCGAGUUGUUUGGGAAUGCAGCUCUAAAGGGGAGGUAAAUUUCUUCCAAAGCUAAAUACCGGCUAGAGACCGAUAGCGCACAAGUAGAGUGAUCGAAAGAUGAAAAGCACUUUGAAAAGAGAGUUAAACAGCACGUGAAAUUGUUGAAAGGGAAGCGCAUGCAGCCAGACAUGACGUCACGGUUCAGCCUUUUUGG
rnacentral:rRNA from 1 species